UCACUUUCUCCUUUCGUAUGUUAGCUGUCGAUUUUCCCAACGCCGAUGACCUCACCGUAACGUCUCGACCUUUUCUUUAGAUCAAAGCCAAUAAAAAGACGAAUCACUAUUCAAAUUCCUCAGUUCCCUUCAUAUGAAUCCCUAAAGCUACUCAAACAACCACUAACAAGCCUUAAACUACAAUAAUAGCUAUAACAAAUUUCAAAUCAAACGUCACCUCUCACGCGUCUAAGAAUUCUUCUGCAAUAACCUAGAGCUCACAAUAAGUUUUUCCUCUCACAAUGUUUCUGAUGAGUUUUGUUUGCAAAGCACCAAACCUUCACCAUCUCUCGCAUUUUCCCAGAGCGAGAGCUUGCACCUAUGCCAGCCUUCGUUGUAAAGGUGCACAGGUCCCCGAAGCAGCACAGCCUGAAGUUGUGACACCAUGAUCAGAUGGUAAAGUUGAUAACAUUUGCAACAAUGGACAAGCGACAACUACAUCUGAUGGUUCACUUGCCGGACGUUCAGCAUCAGCCAAAGAACCA